AUUGAACGCUGGCGGCAUGCUUUACACAUGCAAGUCGAACGGUAACAGGCCUUCGGGUGCUGACGAGUGGCGAACGGGUGAGUAAUGCAUCGGAACGUACCCAGAGGUGGGGGAUAACGCAGCGAAAGCUGUGCUAAUACCGCAUGUGAUCUGAGGAUGAAAGCGGGGGACCGAGCAGCAAUGUUUGGCCUCGCGCCUUUGGAGCGGCCGAUGUCGGAUUAGCUAGUUGGUGGGGUAAAGGCCUACCAAGGCGACGAUCCGUAGCUGGUCUGAGAGGACGACCAGCCACACUGGGACUGAGACACGGCCCAGACUCCUACGGGAGGCAGCAGUGGGGAAUUUUGGACAAUGGGCGCAAGCCUGAACCAGCAAUGCCGCGUGCGGGAAGAAGGCCUUCGGGUUGUAAACCGCUUUUGGCAGGAACGAAACGGUGUCCGCUAAUACCGGGCGCUAAUGACGGUACCUGCAGAAUAAGCACCGGCUAACUACGUG
rnacentral:rRNA from 1 species